rnacentral:lncRNA from 1 species
CCCAUGUCGGCCAACCAAAGGAGGCCUUCCUUGGCGCGCCAAGGCUGCCCCUCCCCUCCUCCUAUAUAUACAAGUUUAAACACCACCGGUGAUAUUACCUCUUUUCUAAAUAGAUGACCUUUCUUUUGUGCUUCAUGCCAGCACUCAUUUUGUUGAUCUCUGAAUACCUCGGUUCCUUCAUUCUGUGAAUGUUCAAAAUCAAGAUUGUUUCCUGGCAUUUUAUCGAAGCCGACACAUAUAUGAAUUAUUGUAUGAUUUCCCUUAUAUCUUGACUCCAUGACUUCUAAUUUAUCUCUCUCCACUACCCUCAGUUAUAUUUUUCAUCAGAUUGUACAACACAACAUGUGUUCCUUGUGCUAGACGUUCUGGUGUCCUUCACAAUUAGUAUACCCUUGCUACCAUUCUUCUACAAAAAAUAUAUUACAAAAUAUGCAUUAAUCACCAUAAAAUAAAAACCAUAUGUAUUAAUUUGCAUGUAGUAGACAGUAAAAAACCUAAAGCAUCAAAGUAGAAAAAGCACAUGUUCAAAAUUUCCAUCUCCUACCCAUGGAUCUUUUUGAAAAUCUAUUAGAAAGAUUUACGUACACAGUGUAAACUUUGUGCCCAUACUUGAGGUUAUAGUCAUUCAAUCUAAACUGAAAUGUCAAUCACUAUCCACGUUUUUUCUGUAUUUUUUCUUUCUUGUCAGUGAUGUCACAAUCUGCAUAUAUCAAGAAUCUUGUGGAUUUCUCAGUCAAUUAUUUUUCUAGGGUCUCAAAACAUGGUGCAAGUGGAUCGACCCAGAUGACAUAUCUCUCGGUAACAUAUGUACGUAAAAUAAUAUGGCCUAUAAUAUGUGGUUCAGGAAAGGAUAAAGUAUUACCUAAAUAAUGAGAUAGUAUUAUCAUAUUUCUCCUGGAUAAAUCUGCUCGGGUUACUUAUCACAUUUGGGACAACUAAUAGAUGUGUUAUUUUUGUACUAUCAUUGAUCUAAUGUAUUAGUAUUAUCAUAUUUCUCCUGGACAUAUCUGCUCGGGUUACUUAUCACACUUGGGACAACUAAUAGAUGUGUUAUUUUUGUACUACCAUUGAUCUAAUGUAUUUAGAAAUUGAUAGAAAAGUUCACACUGUAGAUCUUUUCAUGUCUAUUAUAAACUAAUGGUAGAAAAUAUAAGAAAAAGAAUAUAUAAAAAUUAAAUGUAUUUACAUUUAUACUCAUAAUUAUGGUUAUUUCUUGUAUUGUUUUUCUGUUAUAGAAGAAAUGCUCUUGAACCGUUCCUUGCAAGAAGGGCUCCCGCUUUAUUUUAUCUACUACAUCAUCUUGAGAGAAAUACCUAUUUUGCAUGUACAGAACUACUAAUGAACAUGAUAGAAAAGACAAUGAACUUCUAAACUUAUGUUUCAUUACUUCGCAAUAUAUCAUACAUACUAUGCAUUACGGAUGUAGUAUCAUACACUAGUAUCAACUCUUGGUGGUCAUGUAAAUCCAAAUCAAAUGAAGGAAUAUGUAAUUAGGAUGAGUUCGAGCAGAGCACGAUCAAACGACAGGACAAAAACAAUUGAUUAUGAUUCCAAACAAAAGUUAGGCUGAUAAACUAGUAACAAAUAAAUUCAGCAUACAAUACUCUGAGAAACGAACCUGGUCUCGAUGAGGAAAAAAAAUGAGGCGGUAUGCCCCUUGACCAGGCUAGAUGCAUGCCGAAUCUCCUCGCAUUAGUUUCAAGAGAGACAAUUAUUGUGUUUUUCAUGUAGGGGGUGGGAGGUGGAGUAGUUUCCAUGGGUGAAGAGAGAGAGAAUAGAUAGGAGGGCCGGUGGAUCCAUUUGGUUUUCUUCCUUGUGCGCAGAGAUAGGAGAGGAGGGGAGAGAGAUAAAGGGAGAUAAAAUAGGGGGUAG